rnacentral:rRNA from 1 species
UGGGGAAUAUUGGACAAUGGGCGCAAGCCUGAUCCAGCAAUUCCGCGUGGGUGAAGAAGGUCUUCGGAUUGUAAAGCCCUUUCGACGGGGACGAUGAUGACGGUACCCGUAGAAGAAGCCCCGGCUAACUUCGUGCCAGCAGCCGCGGUAAUACGAAGGGGGCUAGCGUUGCUCGGAAUUACUGGGCGUAAAGGGCGCGUAGGCGGCUUAGUUAGUCAGGCGUGAAAUUCCUGGGCUCAACCUGGGGACUGCGCUUGAUACGGCUAGGCUAGAGGAUGGAAGAGGGUCGCGGAAUUCCCAGUGUAGAGGUGAAAUUCGUAGAUAUUGGGAAGAACACCGGUGGCGAAGGCGGCGACCUGGUCCAUUACUGACGCUGAGGCGCGACAGCGUGGGGAGCAAACA